rnacentral:rRNA from 1 species
GCACGUAGUUAGCCGGUGCUUCUUCUCAGGUACCGUCACUAUACUGCUUCUUCUCAACUAAAAGAGGUUUACAACCCGAAGGCCCUCAUCCCUCACGCGGCGUUACUGCAUCAGGCUUGCKCCUAUUGURCAMUAUWCNCCASUGYUGCCUCCGGUAGG